GACAGAGGUGCCAAGCGUUAGGCGGAAUCACUGGGCUUAAAGCGUGUGUAGGUGGAUGUCUAAGUACCUUGUGAAAUCCCACGGUUCAACCGUGGAACUGCUUGGUAUACUGGAUGUCUUGAGCCGAUCAGGGGCAGUCGGAACAAAUGGUGGAGCGGUGAAAUGCGUAGAUAUCAUUUGGAACGCCAAUGGUGAAAACAGACUGCUGGGGUUGUGCUGACACUGAGACACGAAAGCCAGGGGAGCGAACGGG
rnacentral:rRNA from 1 species